rnacentral:rRNA from 1 species
UACGGGGGGGGCAAGCGUUGUUCGGAAUUACUGGGCGUAAAGGGCUCGUAGGUGGCCAACUAAGUCAGACGUGAAAUCCCUCAGCUUAACUGGGGAACUGCGUCUGAUACUGGAUGGCUUGAGUUUGGGAGAGGGACGCGGAAUUCCAGGUGUAGCGGUGAAAUGCGUAGAUAUCGAGAGGAACACCUGCGGCGAAGGCGGGUUGCUGGGCUGACACUGACGCUGAUGCGCGAAAGCCAGGGGAGCGAACGGG